GGAAUAUUGGACAAUGGGCGCAAGCCUGAUCCAGCAAUGCCGCGUGCGUGAAGGAGGCCCUAGGGUUGUAAAGCGCUUUCACCCGCGACGAUGAUGACGGUAGCGGGAGAAGAAGCCCCGGCUAACUCCGUUCCAGCAGCCGCGGUAAUACGGAGGGGGCGAGCUUUGUUCGGAAUUACUGGGCGUAAAGGGCGCGUAGGCGGCGUGCCAAGUCGGAUGUGAAAGCCCCGGGCUCAACCCGGGAGGUGCAUUCGAUACUGGCGGGCUCGAGUCCGGGAGAGGAUGGCGGAAUUCCCAGUGUAGAGGUGAAAUUCGUAGAUAUUGGGAAGAACACCGGUGGCGAAGGCGGCCAUCUGCACCGGUACUGACGCUGAGGCGCGAAAGCGUGGGGAGCAAAC
rnacentral:rRNA from 1 species